GGAGAGAUGGCUGAGCGGUCGAAAGCGAUAGUCUUGAAAACUAUUGUAGGGCAACCUACCCAGGGUUCGAAUCCCUGUCUCUCCGCCA
rnacentral:tRNA from 2 species